ensembl:lncRNA
GGGAUGGGAGGGGCCUCGGGUCGGGGAUGCGGUGGAAGCUAAAGCUUAUUGCUGUUCACAUAAAAGAAAACAAUCUCAUUUCUCUCCACUGUGAAAGCUUCCUCCGGCGCGGCGACUGCGCACGCACAAAGGAACCUUCCCGCACGGUUCUCCUUCUCUACGGAGCGCUGUUGCGCCGCUCUGCUGAUUCAUUUUGUCCCGGUGGACAGUAUUUUUAGCUCCAGAGACGAACAUCGACCUGAGCGGACGGUCACAUUCCCCCCCCCCUAUUCAUCCAACGAGAAGACGUUUUCCAAUUAUCUGCGGCGAGAUGAUGUGUGAAGCUACGCUAACGCAGAGUGGAGCCCACAAACACGCCAUCGCAGGAGCAACUCUUUUAAAACGCCGUCAGAGACGUUUGACCUUUUCAAGCUUUGUCUUCGGUGGCUUCGGCCGGUUUUCUACGAGGGAGCUCGAACGCAUCCUGGAAGCGCAGCACUGCUGCAUUAAAUACGGCUUUAAUUGGCCGAUACAGUAAAGUAAGUUGAAAAUAUCUUAAAUGUGCAGCACGUCCCUGCAGGGAUGCGGCGUCCUCUUAGGAACGUCGCCUUGUAAACACAGAAAAAAGAAACAUUUUAGAUUAAGAAAAAGGGAACAUCUCUUCCCAUUAUCGGCUAUAUGUGGAAGCGCUGGAAUUCCAGAAGCACAUUUGGUGUCAUUCAACAGUUAAAACAAGCAAACGUCUUUUUAGCUUUGGGGAUCACUCGCCAAUGCUCUCGGGAACCGCUUCAACGUUUUGCCAUCUCGUCGACGUCUGUUCGCCCAUUUCAUUAAGCACAGUCACAGAAAAAAACCAAACGGGACAAAUAAGAGAGAGGAAAUCAGAAACGGGCGUUGGACGAUCCCGAUGCACACGGGCUCAUUUGCAGACGGCGGUUGGCUGAAGGAGUCGGCGUCCUGCCGGUGGAAGCGGCGCUAUUAAUAACGCGGGAAUAAACGGCCUCGCGGGACUUCACGGAGAUGUGAGGCCGUCAUCCACGCGGCUCACACGAGUCACACUCGCACAACCUGUGUAAUUAGCACUUGUAAAUGCUACGUUUCAAGGUUGUAGUUGUAUUUCUAUGGUGCUGAUUGUACAAUCCCACCUUUCGGGCGCCUUUCGCGCCGAUCCGCCCGCUCGCAUCACAGGGCGGCUUCGUGCGCACGUAAGCACUCGAGACGCGAUGGCAUCGCCUCCAACGCAGAGAAGGAAACGACACAUUGCAGCACUUUGUAAAAGGACGUUAACGCCCGAAGGAGCGUGAAUCACAAUAAUUAACAAACCAACAUUUUUGUUCGCCGGGUAACGCGCACGCAGGCUGGACGGGCUCCACUGGUUCAUGGAUGCUGGGUGGUUACUGCGUGCGCUGUCCGUGGUGCUGAAGUCAUUCUUUGACUGUGAGGACGCCGCUGUCGUUCUCCUGUUGUCAUUACACGAUUGCGACGACGUCCUCUCACCGUCCUGAGCAGCACAUUUGGGUCCAGAGUAACAGGUCGCACAGCAGUUUGAAUCAUCAGGAACGUGACUAAGACGCUGUGCGACCCUCCUUCAGUAUUCCUGUGAGGCGCCUCGCCGGCUCUAUUAGGACGGAAUUGAUUAGCAAAGCAGGCAAAGUGGGAAACUGACCCUCGAGGGCCCGAAAGGCCCCAAGUUGUCUGUUGCCGUAAUUUAUUAGGGUUAAAUUAAGUUUAACCUUUAAAUUAACUUGGUUACACACCAAUUCUAUUAUCGCAUUGUGCGGUUUCCUCGCUGUGAGGCGAAUGCACUUUCUGAAACCCGCCGAUCCUAAGGUUGCCGCGGCGUCCCGGCGACGUCGAGGACGGCUCCGCUCCUCCCGUCUUCGCGGGGCCACGCGUCUCAGCCCCGAGGGGCGGGCGGGCGAUCGGCGGCGCGUGAGACCCGCGGCCCUUUGUCGAUGAACCUGCCUCUCGGGACCUCCCUCCCUCUCCCAUCGACUCGCCGCUCUGAUUCAUCUGCUCCAGUGUUGCCUCCCCCCUCUGAUUACCGUCCCGGUCACUCCCUCUCCCUCCCCCGCUCUCAUUGUCGCCUGCUCCAUUUGUCUCCCCUUAUCUCCCCCGUCCUUUUUUCUUCUCCCAUAACCACUUCUCCCCCCUUUGUCAUUCUCCACGCCGUCUCUCUCUCUCUCUC